rnacentral:rRNA from 1 species
CCUACGGGUGGCUGCAGUAAGGAAUAUUGGUCAAUGGACGAAAGUCUGAACCAGCCAUGCCGCGUGGAGGAUGAAGGUCCUCUGGAUUGUAAACUUCUUUUAUCUGGGACGAAAAAAGGUUUUUCUAAACCAACUGACGGUACCAGAUGAAUAAGCACCGGCUAACUCCGUGCCAGCAGCCGCGGUAAUACGGAGGGUGCAAGCGUUAUCCGGAUUCACUGGGUUUAAAGGGUGCGUAGGCGGGUUGAUAAGUCAGUGGUGAAAUCCCCAAGCUU